GCAUGCGGCAGCUAUACAUGCAGUCGAGCGCAUGACGAGGAGCUUGCUCCUCUGAUUGAGCGGCGGACGGGUGAGUAACACGUGGGCAACCUGCCCUGUAGACGGGGAUAACUUCGGGAAACCGGAGCUAAUACCGGAUAAUCCUCUUCCCCACAUGGGGAAGAGUUGAAAGGCGCUUUCGCGUCACUACAGGAUGGGCCCGCGGUGCAUUAGCUAGUUGGUGGGGUAACGGCCUACCAAGGCGACGAUGCAUAGCCGACCUGAGAGGGUGAUCGGCCACAUUGGGACUGAGACACGGCCCAAACUCCUACGGGAGGCAGCAGUAGGGAAUCUUCCACAAUGGACGAAAGUCUGAUGGAGCAACGCCGCGUGAGUGAUGAAGGUUUUCGGAUCGUAAAACUCUGUUGUAAGGGAAGAACCAGUACGUCAGGCAAUGGACGUACCUUGACGGUACCUUAUUAGAAAGCCACGGCUAACUACGUGCCAGCAGCCGCGGUAAUACGUAGGUGGCAAGCGUUGUCCGGAAUUAUUGGGCGUAAAGCGCGCGCAGGUGGUUUCUUAAGUCUGAUGUGAAAGCCCACGGCUUAACCGUGGAGGGUCAUUGGAAACUGGGAGACUUGAGUGCAGAAGAGGAAAGUGGAAUUCCAAGUGUAGCGGUGAAAUGCGUAGAGAUUUGGAGGAACACCAGUGGCGAAGCGACUUUCUGGUCUGCAACUGACGCUGAGGCGCGAAAGCAUGGGGAGCAAACAGGAUUAGAUACCCUGGUAGUCCAUGCCGUAAACGAUGAGUGCUAAGUGUUAGGGGGUUUCCGCCCCUUAGUGCUGCAGCUAACGCAUUAAGCACUCCGCCUGGGGGAGUACGACCGCAAGGUUGAAACUCAAAGGAAUUUGACGGGGGCCCGCACAAGCGGUGGAGCAUGUGGUUUAAUUCGAAGCAACGCGAAGAACCUUACCAGUCUGACAUCCCGAUGACCGCUCUAGAAGAAUAGAGUUUUCCUUCGGGACAUGGUGACAGGUGGUGCAUGUGGUCGUCAGCUCGUGUCGUGAGAUGGUGGUAGUCCCGCAACGAGCGCCACCCAUAUCUAGUGCAUCAUUAGUGGUCACUCUAGUGACUGCGUGAUAAACCGGAGAAGGUGGGAUGACGUCAUCCAUGCCUUAGACCUGGCUACACAACGUGUCUACAUGGACGCGGUUCACAUGA
rnacentral:rRNA from 1 species